UUCGGGAAACCGGAGCUAAUACCGGAUAAUAUUUUGAACCGCAUGGUUCAAAAGUGAAAGACGGUCUUGCUGUCACUUAUAGAUGGAUCCGCGCUGCAUUAGCUAGUUGGUAAGGUAACAGCUUACCAAGGCAACGAUGCAUAGCCGACCUGAGAGGGUGAUCGGCCACACUGGAACUGAGACACGGUCCAG
rnacentral:rRNA from 1 species